ensembl:ncRNA Y73F8A.1165 ncRNA
UUCUCUUGCAACAUUGUCCAUUUCCACACGGAGAAUAGUUUUGCUGGCAAGAGCAGGAGUUGACUGAUUGAGUGAGGCAUGGCAUCUGGACUAGUUGAGCAGUAGAGCACGAUUGAUAGCAUGAUUGGGUGCAUGCUGGAGCACAUUGCUGCAUUGGUUG